GACUCUCGGCAAUGGAUAUCUUGGCUCUUGCAUCGAUGAAGAGCGCAGCGAAAUGCGAUACGUGGUGUGAAUUGCAGAAUCCCGUGAACCAUCGAGUUUUUGAACGCAAGUUGCGCCCGAUGCCAAUUGGCUGAGGCACGUCCGCCUGGGCGUCAAGCAUUACGUCGCUUCAUUCG
rnacentral:rRNA from 1 species